rnacentral:piRNA from 1 species
UGGUCGUCAGUAAGAGUUCCUAUAAUAA